rnacentral:lncRNA from 1 species
CCUUGGGAAUGGUUGCCAAACACCCCUAUUUAGGGUGAAAGGGCUUUGGGGCUUGGAUGGGCUUUCUAAAUGCCCAUCCAAGUGCACCCUACAGCUCGCGGCAAGGAGAUGGGCUGCUUCGCGGUUUCGUUGGCGUGGGGAAAAGAGAACGUGGGGCGGCUGUGUCACGGAGAUGCAGACACGGUCAGCAACUUAAGAGAUCUCCAUGGAGUGUUGACCGAGUAGGAGUCCUACACGGACGUGUGGCAGCUUGGAGAUGAGGGGAAAAAUUGGAGCUCCGGUGGAUGCUCCGUUCGGUGGAGUGGGAUGGCUGCAAGGGGGCGUCCGCGAAGAGAUGAGGGGAGAGAGAAGCGGUGUCCUCGACCGCCCAGUCAAAACCAAAAAGGAAAACAGCAAAAGGGAAAAGAUAAGG